CCAAUAGCGUAUAUUAAAGUUGUUGCAGUUAAAAAGCUCGUAGUUGAAUUUCGGGAUCAAUAUAUCGGUCGUGCCAUCGGUACGUACUGGUAUCAUUGGUUUCUCCUUUCUGACGAACCUUGAUGUCAUUAAUUUGGUGUCUUGGGGAAUCAGGACUGUUACUUUGAAAAAAUUAGAGUGUUUAAAGCAGGCUCGCGCUUGAAUACAUUAGCAUGGAAUAAUGAAAUAGGACGUUUGAUUCUAUUUUGUUGGUUUCUAGGAUCGACGUAAUGAUUAAUAGGGAUAGUUGGGGGCAUUAGUAUUCAAUUGUCAGAGGUGAAAUUCUUGGAUUUAUUGAAGACUAACUACUGCGAAAGCAUUUGCCAAGGAUGUUUUCAUUAAUCAAGAACGAAAGUUAGGGGAUCGAAGACGAUCAGAUACCGUCGUAGUCUUAACCAUAAACUAUGCCGACUAGGGAUCGAAUGAUGUUAAUUUUUUAAUGACUCAUUCGGCGCCUUACG
rnacentral:rRNA from 1 species